UCUAGUCACAAAAAUAAAGUCACUAACUCAAACUGGCUUAUUUCAUUACCCUCUGAAAUUCAGUUUUCACGAUUUAGUUCAAACUUCUUUUUUUUCACUAUUCACUGCACCGUGAAAACCCUCUUCACUAAUCUUUGACGCCUCAGAAACCCUUUUCACCACCAACCUUGCUUUUCAAUCUCCUUCUUUGCCGCCUUCAAAUUCCUAAGGCUUUUCUGGUGCGUCGCCAUCAGUGGCUCCGACCUCGACACUUGCAUCGUUCUAAUCCCCAUCAGCUUCAAGUCUCCCACAUUGCUUGAUUUCAACGCGUGGUUUUCAAGAAGGAGAAGAUUAACCUCAUUGGACACAACGAGGUUUUCAAUUCCAAAUUGCAAUCUCGAGUGAACUUCGUGAGUUCUAGGGUUCCCUAAUGUCAUUGACCAAGCUGAAUUAACCAUCGAACAAGUAGUCCCGAUCCGUUUUCUUUAUGUUUCUUUCUUCAUUCCUCGAUCUAAUUGCAAAAUUCCAAUUGUGCUCGAUUCCAUUUUGAUUUAGUUGUCAUGAAUUUUAAUGUCAUUGAUCAUGGAUGUAGAUUAAAUUAUGAUUCUUUCAAAUCUCAUUGUUAAUUACUAAUCAACUUGUUGUUUAAUUGAUCAGUAUAGCUUAAUUUUUUAAUACUCAGACCUAAUGUUUAGGAACCUUGAUUUUUUUUGUGAACCAACGUAGUUCUAGUUAUUCUAUUCACUCCUUUUGGUGACAGGAGAUUCUCCUCUUCUCUGGCGGGAAACCUCAAGGCUAAGCUUCAUUAAUCAUGUGUUUAAAUCUAAUAGUAGUAAAAUCAUCAUACACAUUUACAUAGGAAUGAGGAAGAACUAUUUAUACAUUGGACCAUGGAGGGACUAAUUCUCAUUUUUCAGGUGUUACGUCUGCAAUUGGAGGCAAGGAUGGUGCUAUUAUUAAUCAAGAAUUUAUUGAGGUAUCAAUUCCUCCUAAUUUGAUAGUUGGGGCAUCAGAUGUAAGUUUCUCCAUAAAUUUGAAUUUACAAUUGCUUCAUAAAUUAAUAUUAUAAUACCAUAACGCAUUAAUGUGGAAGUAGUUUACACUUAGUGUAGAAAAUUAGUUUUGUUGUAUUAAACAAGUUGGUCAUGAUGACAUGCAUGAUAAAUUAUACUCUAUUGCUAUCAUUCCCUAAAGUUAUAACUUCAGUUGCAUAAUAGAGAAAUCCUUCAAUCUGAAUUUGAUUAAUGGAUUGCAAGAAUUGUUUAGUGAGGAAUUGUCAUCAAAUAUUGACCAAGAAGAUGCAAAAUCAGAUUUGUUUGAAGUGCAGAAGCAGAACAAUGCCUUCAAACUGGUAGAAAAAAUCAAGUGCUUUCUAAAACAAAUGCUUCAAUUCACGCUGGAAAUCGUGAGAAUUGGUAUGUGGCCCAAAAAAGUGAAGAACAACCUAAGAUACUUAAGUUACAUUCUUCGAUGGUUUGCGAAAUUAUGCACGUUAUUGCAAGUUUAAAGUGCAGGGUGUACUAAGAAAUGUUGAUUUUAAUAAUCUUACAAAUGUAAUUUGCUCUCUAAGCUUUGAUUAGAAUGCAGAUUACUUUGCUUCAGCUGGGAUAUCUAAGAAAAUAUUUAUAUUUUGAGUUUGGUGAACUUUGCAAUGACUCUGUUGAUAUAUUAUUAUGUAGUUGAGAUGUUAACUAGAUCGAAACUCAGUUGUGUUUGCUGGAAUAAUGUAUUUUUUUAUACAAUGAAAAGAAAUUUACAUUGAUUUCGA